rfam:Tulasnella calospora MTT 4182 unplaced genomic scaffold scaffold_263, whole genome shotgun sequence.
AGCCUUUUAGCUCAGUGGUCAGAGCACCAGUGAUUUAGUGCUUCUUGCGGUGUUGUGUGCCGAUGGCCCCACUGGUUGUUCAGUUUAUGGGUCUGCGAUUACCCUUUGGAUUUCAGGCUAUCAAUAGCCUAAUGGUGGAGACCUGGGUUCAAGUCCCAGUGAGGCCA